UGACCAGGGGGCCGGGUUGCUCUGAUCAAGGUGGAUCGGCGUGACCUACGGGUACAGGGAGUGCCUGCGCAAGGGCCGGGUCAGGAGAAAA
rfam:Pseudomonas brenneri strain RGCB 108 Contig006, whole genome shotgun sequence.